CAAAGUUGCUACAUAGAUCUAAAAAAAAAUGACACAUGCUGGUAAGGUUGGGGAGUAAAGGGAACACUCAUAUACUUAGUCAGUGAGGUCAAGACCAUCACCCCCAAGCCCCAAUCCCCCCAGAGCCUGCUGGAGUAAACAGGUGUGGCCCUUUCUCGGGGCGCUUCCUGGGGAAGGCGCAGAUCCUCUGUAUCUUCUCUCUACCUUCCCUCCAGAGACCUGCCUGCCCUGGCCGGUGUCCACUGCAGAGGCGACUUGCCGGGACAGCAGGUCAGGAGUUCUUGCAGUUGUAUACUCACAGCCCCUUAACUCCGCAUUUGCUCUGUUUUCUAAAUGAUUAUUGCUGCCACACAAGGAAACGAUUGAUUUUUUAAAUGUUUGUCAAGGACCCAGCCACUGUUAGUAAAUUCCCAGAAUUACAAUGGAGUCAUUUCUUUUUUUCUGGAUAGACAAUCAUACCAUCCCCUGAAUAGUGAUCACCUUGUCUCAUGAAUUCCUUUAGUCGUCUUUCUCACUUGUAUCUCAAGUCAUAAUAUUGGCCAGAACACGGAGAACAACAUUGAA